rnacentral:rRNA from 1 species
CCUACGGGUGGCACCAGUGGGGAAUAUUGCGCAAUGGGCGCAAGCCUGAUGCAGCCAUGCCGCAUGUAUGAAGAAGGCCUUCGGGUUGUAAAGUACUUUCAGCGGGGAGGAAGGCGAUAAGGUUAAUAACCUUGUCGAUUGACGUUACCCGCAGAAGAAGCACCGGCUAACUCCGUGCCAGCAGCCGCGGUAAUACGGAGGGUGCAAGCGUUAAUCGGAAUUACUGGGCGUAAAGCGCACGCAGGCGGUCUGUCAAGUCGGAUGUGAAAUCCCCGGGCUUAACCUGGGAACUGCAUUCGAAACUGGCAGGCUAGAGUCUUGUAGAGGGGGGUAGAAUUCCAGGUGUAGCGGUGAGAUGCGUAGAGAUCUGGAGGAAUACCGGUGGCGAAGGCGGCCCCCUGGACAAAGACUGACGCUCAGGUGCGAAAGCGUGGGGAGCAAACAGGAUUAGAUACCCUCGUAGUC